GUCAGGCAUGCGCCAGACAAACUCAAGGGAACGAAAAACGUUCCAGCACACUAAGAUGUGUGGGAUCCUUGAGCUGGGGGCCUGAUUUAUU
rnacentral:sRNA from 12 species